UACGUAGGGCGCAAGCGUUAUCCGGAAUUAUUGGGCGUAAAGAGCUCGUAGGCGGUUUGUCGCGUCUGCCGUGAAAGUCCGGGGCUCAACUCCGGAUCUGCGGUGGGUACGGGCAGACUAGAGUGAUGUAGGGGAGACUGGAAUUCCUGGUGUAGCGGUGAAAUGCGCAGAUAUCAGGAGGAACACCCAUGGCGAAGGCAGCUCUCUGGUCGACCUCUGACGCUGAGACGCGAAAGCGUGGGGAGCGAACGGG
rnacentral:rRNA from 1 species